CCUACGGGUGGCAGCAGUGAGGAAUAUUGGUCAAUGGGCGCAAGCCUGAACCAGCCAAGUCGCGUGAGGGAAGACGGCCCUACGGGUUGUAAACCUCUUUUGUCGGGGAGCAAGCCUGAGCACGUGUGCCCAGGCGGAGAGUACCCGAAGAAAAAGCAGUGGCUAACUCCGUGCCACCAGCCGCGGUAAUACGGAGGAUGUGAGCGUCAUCCGGGUUUUUUGGGUUAAAGGGGUUCGCAGGCGGUCUGUUAAGCCGUCGGUAAAAAUUCAGGGCUCAACCCUGUCGAGCAGUCGGAACUGGCAGCCUUGAGUGGGCGAGAAGUAUGCGGAAUGCGUGGUGUAGCGGUGAAAUGCAUAGAGAUCACGCAGAACGCCGAUUGCGAAGGCAGCAUACCGGCGCCCGACUGACGCUGAGGCACGAAAGCGUGGGGAUCGAACAGGAUUAGAUACCCCGGUAGUC
rnacentral:rRNA from 1 species